UCAACACACCACAAGGUUAGUGAGAGCAGUUUAUGGGUCAGCGACAGAAGUAACCCAGCUUACAUACAGCUUACUGAGUUGUCAUUGCUCUUUGGAGAUGGUCUGUGUAAUUCAGUACACAGAAGCAGUCUUAAUGAAAUAAUUGCCAUUUCAGCCCUAAGAAGAGGUGUCCGACGCCUUCUGGCCACCUUUAGCUGAGCAGAGAGAAGUAUGGAAGAGGAAUUCAUGGACUGUUUUUCAGCUCCUUUUUCUUCUGAUUUUGCUACCUGCUACUGUGUCCUUUUCAGCUUAUAGAAGGUUUUGGCACAUUGCACAUCAUCUGACUGACAGUGGUGGAUUGAGGUAUAGAUGUGGAGUUUGCCACAUACCAAGGCCAGAUUUCUCAGGUGCCUCACUAUUGUUUAAAGAAUAAAGUAAACUAACCUUCAUUGUGGGAGAGGCAGACGAAAGGCAGAGGAUUAGUAAAGGCAGUCCAAGCCUUUUAGUUGUAAAUUGGCAGUGAUAGCAGAUGAUAGUUAUUUGCAUCUGAAGAUUGUUGCUGGACCAUGUGGAAAGAACUUGUGGUUUCCAUUCCGUCUCUUGUGAAAGGCAGCACCACCACACGCAGUAUCACUUUUCUCAUUCCCUCGGGCAAUUUCAACAAAAAGACAGAUGGGCAUUUUUCUGACCCAACUUUUGGGAAUCAGUGAGAAUUUUGCCAUCCGUUUCAGUGGCUCUGAAUCAACUAGACAAGGAGCUUGAACUUCCCAAGAGCUGGAGAGGAACUUUUAGGUUCUGAGACAAGAUGUACCACAAAACACUUCUAUCUGCAAUACUCCUAUCUGUAUUCUGGGUAAAAACUUCAGUGGUUUUUAGUCUGGUGCUUGUUCCAAACAUGUUCGUAAUUGCUGGAAAUUCAUUUUCUUAUGGAUUACUCACAGUUAACAAAGCUCUGAAGAGAUGGAGAGCCAAAUACAACAAAGCAGUCCUUUCUCAUUGAGACACGUUUAAUGUACAUUGACAGCAAACCCAUUACAACAUUCCAUGCAUGAAAAACCAGAAGGUAGAACAAGAAACAUAACUUUCUGAUUUCAGAAUCAGCAGCUGUAACAACACAUGGAGGACACUUGGCAGCUGCAAGACACAGAUGCUGAGCUCUGUAAUAAACUUCUCUCGUAGAAGAAUCUGAGUGCUUUUGCUGGCUGCUUAAAAGUCCUUAUUGCUGUCUGACUCACUUGCUCAACAAGCAGUUACAGUGUUGAUGGCUGCUGGUAAUCACUCUUGGGGUUAUAAGGACCGGUAUAAUUGACCUGCUUUGUCCUCUAGGAUGCUGCCAUAGCCUAGCUUUAAUAAUUAGUGAAUUGUGUGCUUCCAUAGGAGAUAUUUAAGGAUAAGGUAUUGUGCAGUGUCUUAGUGAACUACUGUUUUUACAUCUAGAGAUAGGCAAUGGGCCUGGUUUUGAUCACGAGUCACAACAGCACAAACCAGAAAUAACCUCACUCUUGUUAAAGGGGUAUAAGCCGUUACAAAACAAAUGUAGGUGAGGUCAGUGCAAAGGAGAGCUUCACGUUCAGCCUUCAUUGCCUGCAUUUAAAGACAAACAGCUGUCCUGAGUUUCAGCUGGAGGAGGAAGACACCAUCAAACAUGAAUGUUGAUUUGCUUGAGUUGCUGCUUACAGAAGUCCCAGGCCACCCUGAAGCACACACCCUGCUCCUAUUGGCAUUGCUCAGAGCCGUGAUUUUGAGCAGUGCCACCGGCAGCUGCUGGAGGAGUGGUACAGAAGUGCUCCAGUGGAUUUUCACAGGUUUGGUGUUUCCCUGCAACAAUCUGCUCGCACAGCCUUCCUCCCAUUGCGCACACCCGGCUCCGCGCGGCUCCGUGGUGGACCUGCAACUUUGCUGGCGAUGUUUGUUUUCAAAAGACAAAUAUUGUGCCAGCGUUCGCUUCAAUUAGGAGACUUAUUUGACAAUCUGACUACUCCAUCUGAUGCCUCAAGGGCAAAUUUCAGCACUUUAUGAAAGAUGCCGGCCAAAGACUGAUCUAUAUGAAUAAAAUAUUGAGGGGAGAAGUUGUAAUGAACAUUUGAAAACACAACUAUCAAGCAUUCAUUGCAAAUAUUUACACGCAAUAAAGGAUCUGUUUUAUCCCCAUGAAGGCUAUCACAUUUGGACAGAAAGCUGCUAUACUCCAUUCCAACUCACUCUGCGAUGCCUCCAUGUCAAGAGUGGGGCACAGUUGGUGACAAGGAACUUCAGUGCAUGGCUCCAUAGGGCCAAUCCUACAACCAGUGACUCAAUCAGGGGGUCUUCACGGCACCACAUCCUCAUGGGUUGCUUUGGGGCUCAGACAUUCUUUUCUACAUUAAUCACCAGAUCAGCUUAUUUAGUGAUGGUGAUGGCUGCCCCAUAAGGCUUCCUAGUGCUGCUGGAACCAGGGCUCUUCGCUCCCACAAUUCAUCCACAUGCAGGAGCAUAGCAUCACCCACCAUCUAGAUGCAUGCAGAUAAAACAGAGACAAAGGUGACUUUGUAGCACUACUCUGGGUGAAAUUCCAUUUUUUUUUUCCACUGUCUGGCUGUGUCUGAUGUGCCUCUGCUGAAAAGGUUUCUAUUUUGAUGAAGACACAAAGGCUUGAACGCUUUUCUGAACCAAUUUGGUGGCAACUGUGUGCUGGGAAUUAUUCUCACGAGGCUUCAAACCUGUGCAAAUGUUUUGAAGGAGACAUAACCUCGCUUUAAUUAUCAUCUCAACACUUUGUAGCAAAGAUGUGAUCUCCUAUAGCUCCUUUAGGGUCAUGCAGAUACUCUGGGCCCGAUCGUUGGAUGGUGGGAACUCGUGCGCUGGCUCUGAGGCCACCUCUAUUUGCAUCUGACUCCACUCACCCAUUCUCAUUUCACAGCCAAACACACAAGCAUUUUUUUUCUAUAGACUUUAAUUCAAAGGUCUGUCAAACUAAAGCAGCUGGGAAUGCUCUGUUGGAAUGACUUUCCGGUGGAAUAUCUGCCUUUUAUAAAAUUGGGAUUUCUUUUAUGGGAAAAUUUCAAUUUUGCCAGAAAUUUUUGAUUUUUCUAUUAGGAAAAUCAAACGGAUGGCUCCACGGCUGCUUGGCUGGAAGGCCCCUGUCGAUUUUGUUGUCGUCUGCAGGGAGAGAGCAAAAUUGACAAUAGUCUUCCAGGCAGGCAGCUGGGGAGAUGCAGCAGGUCUGGAAGAGGGAGGAGGGGAGGUUGAGUGCCCUGGCGCUCUGCCGGCCCUGCAGCCCAGCUGCCUCCCCAGCAGCCAGGCUAGGGGGAAGGCAAGGAGGAGGAGGAGGGAGCGGCAGGCGUGGGGUGUCCUGCCUGCAGCAGCCUGCCAACCGGGCUCCUGCCGCUCACCCCUUUCGGCAGGCAGCUGGCAAGCCCCAAGAAAUUCCAGUUUGCUUCCCUUAAAAGAGGCUAGGGGUUUUGUUUUAUUUUACGGAGAGUUCUUCUCAGAGGAAAAAGGAAAAAAAAAAAAGAGUAAAAAAAGAAAAAAUAAUAUUUUGUUUUUCCUCAAUUUAUAGGGGAAGGAGGGAGGGAUUUUGAAAAUGAGUAUUUUUUCACAGGAAGGAAUUUCUGUGAUUCAGCCAGCUCUACCUUAUGCCUACUAUACUAGAAAUAUACAUAUACAUGUAUAUAUUAUUUUUUUCCACAGUCCAUACAUUGUUAAAAGUACAGCACGGGAAAUCAAUGCACCUGUGUGGAGAAGGCCAGCAGAAGAGCACCACUGGCCACACUGCCCUGCCAAGCCCUUGUGCUGCCUUUACCAUCAACGUUCUAUAAAGAGUCCCGGCAUCUCUGUGCCUUUGCCCAUCACUGAGCAAUAACCAAAAAGGAAGCAUAACAGGAUAGAUAAGCUUUAGUCUGAUGCCAUUUGGAGUGUCUGCCAGAUAAAUCCUAGAAUUCAAGGAUUUUAUGGUGUUGGUCAUAGACCUUUAAGUACAACACAGUGAAUGUGCCUUGCUAUAACAUAGAUCAUAAACUGGCAGCUGAGCCCAUUUCAGGCUGUUUUGCAGGCUGCAAAGCCUCUUCCAUUGUGUGUUUGUAUGUAUUUCUCACCCUUCCUGAGGGUGUUCAAGUCAUCCCCUACUUAAUCCACCCUGUCUACCAGCAGUAGAGACUGUAGCUACAACGACAGGAGGAAAACAUAUAGUCACUUCCUGACUCUAUAAAAAGUGUUUAGCCCCAGUAAUGAGUUCUGGAAGGCUUCCUUUGAGAUUUCACAUACAGAAACACACACAAAAGCACUCCUGCUGUUGCAGGACUCAUUAUUCUUCAGAUCCUAUGCAGAUUUUUGUAAAAGAAAAAGACUAAGAGUUAUGAAAUCUUUGAAUCAUUACAUUCAUAAAAUCAGAUAGAAGAUAUAUUUCAACAAGAACCCUUACAGAAAAAAAAAAUAAAGAAAGAAAUUAAAUUGUAUUUGUCUGCAUUCCAAUAAUCCAUCCAUGAUUAUGUUAUAGAUGUGACACCAGUAUUGAUGGAACACCAAAAUGUAGAGGUAUCGGUGAAGAACAACAUCGGCAGAGUAAAAGAGUAAAUAUGACUUCUUUAAUAGUAGUCUCUCUUAUUAUUUUAUAGUGUGGGCUUUUCGGAUAAUUUAUUAAUACUAACAAAGAUGAGUGAUUUGGAGGCUGGAUAUUUUUUAUUUCUUAGGAGUUAUUUUAUUUGAUAAUGUCAUUAAAUAUUAGAAACUAUAACAGCUGGUGUGUUUAUCCUUACUUGAGUGUAUUAACCUCUUUAGCCCUUUUUUCCAGAAGAAGGAUUCAGCAUUACAGAUUUGACUGUCAGCUGCAGUGCCUGGCGGCCCGUUGGAUUGGCAUCCUGACAGAAUCGAAAGUCCAGUGCUGCAAGUAAACAUGGAUGACAUUGCAGAUAGAUAGAACUGGCUGACUUGAGGCACCUGCAGCUGUUUGCACCAGAAUAAAAGCAAAGGUUGUGGUUGCCGGAGUGGAAAAACACUGAAUUUACCUCUAGUUAUUUUGCUUGGGAAUUUUGCAGCCCCCCCCCUCCCUCCUCACCUUUUUUUCCUGGUUAUACAUUUUGGAACCUUUCCACUAAAAGCACAUUAGGCUGAAAUACCUCAGUGAAAAAAUCCACCAGACACCAGAGGGCUUUGCAGCCCACAUUGCCCCCUUUUCUCCUUUACAUUCAUUCAGCAGUUUCCCCACUACUCCCUGGUAACAACCAGCCCUCCACCGGUGCGAACACUGAGUUGCAGCAAAGGAUGCAAACCCUAAAUAGCCGCAAACAAUUCUUAGCAGCUGAUUUUUUCAAUCUUGAAUAGCCAGAUACACUUCUCAGCAGCUGAUUUUUUUUUAACUUGGCAUUCACAGACUGCUACAAGUGAC
ensembl:lncRNA